rnacentral:rRNA from 1 species
GAUGAACGCUGGCGGCGUGCCUAAUACAUGCAAGUCGAGCGAACAGACGAGGAGCUUGCUCCUCAGACGUUAGCGUCGGACGGGUGAGUAACACGUGGAUAACCUACCUAUAAGACUGGGAUAACUUCGGGAAACCGGAGCUAGUACCGGAUAAUAUAUUGAUACGCAUUGUUCAAUAGUGAAAGACGGAUUUGCUGUCACUUAUAGCUGGAUCCGCGUCGCAUUAGCUAGUUGGUAAGGUAACGGCUUACCAAGGCAACGAUGCGAAGCGGACCUGGGAGGGUGAUGGGCCACACUGGAACUGAGACACGCUCCAGACUCCUACGGGAGGCAGCAGUAGGGAAUCUUCCGCAAUGAGCGAAGGCUUGACGGAGCAACGCCGCGUGAGGAAUGAAGGUCUUCGGAUCGUAAAACUCUUUUAUUAGGAAAGAAGAAAUGUGUAAGUAACUAUGCACGUCUUGACGGUACCUAAUCAGAAAGCCACGGCUAACUACGUG